GACGAACGCUGGCGGCGUGCUUAACACAUGCAAGUCGAACGGAAAGGCCCUGCUUUUGUGGGGUGCUCGAGUGGCGAACGGGUUAGUAACACGUGAGUAACCUGCCCUUGACUUUGGGAUAACUUCAGGAAACUGGGGCUAAUACCGGAUAGGAGCUCCUGCUGCAUGGUGGGGGUUGGAAAGUUUCGGCGGUUGGGGAUGGACUCGCGGCUUAUCAGCUUGUUGGGGGGGUAGUGGCUUACCAAGGCUUUGACGGGUAGCCGGCCUGAGAGGGUGACCGGCCACAUUGGGACGGAGGUACGGCCCAGACUACUACGGGAGGCAGCAGUGGGGAAUAAUGCACAAUGGUCGGAAGCCUGAUGCAGCAACGCCGCGUGCGGGAUGACGGCCGUCGGGUUGUAAACCGCUUUCGCCUGUAACGAAGCGUGAGUGACGGUAAUGGGUAAAGAAGCACCGGCUAACUACGUG
rnacentral:rRNA from 1 species